AUACGGAGGAUGCAAGCGUUAUCCGGAUUUAUUGGGUUUAAAGGGUGCGUAGGCGGACUAAUUAGUCAGCGGUGAAAUUUUGCGGCUCAACCGUAAAACUGCCGUUGAAACUGUUAGUCUUGAGUGCGGUAGAGGUAGGCGGAAUGUGUGGUGUAGCGGUGAAAUGCUUAGAUAUCACACAGAACACCGAUUGCGUAGGCAGCUUACUGGAGCGCAACUGACGCUGAGGCACGAAAGCGUGGGGAUC
rnacentral:rRNA from 1 species